AACGAACGCUGGCGGCAUGCCUAACACAUGCAAGUCGAACGAAUGCUUCGGCCUUAGUGGCGCACUGGUGCGUAACGCGUUGGAAUCUGCCCUUUGGUUUGCCAUAACAUCUGGAAACGGCUGCUAAUACCGGCUGUUGUCGAAAGUCCAAAGAUUUAUCGCCAGAGGAUGAGCCCGCGUUGGAUUAGUUAGUUGGUGGGGUAAAGGCCUACCAAGCCGACGAUCCAUAGCUGGUCUGAGAGGAUGAUCAGCCACACUGGGACUGAGACACGGGCCAGACUCCUACGGGAGGCAGCAGUGGGGAAUAUUGGACAAUGGGCGCAAGCCUGAUCCAGCAAUGCCGCGUGAGUGAUGAAGGCCCUAGGGUUGUAAAGCUCUUUUACCCGGGAAGAUAAUGACUGUACCGGGAGAAUAAGCCCCGGCUAACUCCGUG
rnacentral:rRNA from 1 species